rnacentral:ncRNA from 1 species
CAAGAGGGGUGCCUCAUCGACCGGGGCUGAGAUCAUACCCUGUGAACUUGAUACGGUUAGUACCGUCGAAAGGACUUGU